CCUACGGGUGGCAGCAGUGAGGAAUAUUGGUCAAUGGCCGGAAGGCUGAACCAGCCAAGCCGCGUGAAGGACGAAGGUGCCAAGCAUUGUAAACUUCUUUUGUCAAGGGACAAAAUCAGCCUCGAGAGCCUGACCGAGGGUACUUGAAGAAAAAGCAUCGGCUAACUCCGUGCCAGCAGCCGCGGUAAUACGGAGGACUCGAGCGUUAUCCGGAUUAAUUGGGUUUAAAGGGUGCGGAGGCGGGCUUUAAAGUCAGCGGUAAAAGCCCGGGGCUCAACCCCGGCGAGCCGUUGAAACUGGGCGUCUUGAGUUGACGAGAGGUAGGCGGAAUGCGCGGUGUAGCGGUGAAAUGCUUAGAUAUCGCGCAGAACUCCGAUUGCGAAGGCAGCAUACCGGCG
rnacentral:rRNA from 1 species